AUUAUUAAUACAUAUAACUACUGGCAAUAACCAAGUAUGAAAAGGACAUAGCGACCUACAAGACAAACCAAAAUAAUUGGUGUCAGUUGCUAAUUACGCUUAUCCAUUGAGAUCAGCUGGUUUAUGAAAACGACAUUCAAGCAAUUAUUUUAGUAGAAUAACAUAUGAAGUUAUCUGGUUAGGCACAAUAUGUUCGGUAACAAAUGUAUAUGGACAGUUUAUC
rnacentral:lncRNA from 1 species